rnacentral:rRNA from 1 species
GAUACGUAGACCGGCCACACUGGGACUGAUACACGGCCCAGACUCCUACGGGAGGCAGCAGUGGGGAAUAUUGCACAAUGGGCGCAAGCCUGAUGCAGCGACGCCGCGUGAGGGAUGACGGCCUUCGGGUUGUAAACCUCUUUCAGUAGGGAAGAAGCGAAAGUGACGGUACCUGCAGAAGAAGCGCCGGCUAACUACGUGCCAGCAGCCGCGGUAAUACGUAGGGCGCAAGCGUUAUCCGGAAUUAUUGGGCGUAAAGAGCUCGUAGGCGGUUUGUCGCGUCUGCCGUGAAAGUCCGGGGCUCAACUCCGGAUCUGCGGUGGGUACGGGCAGACUAGAGUGAUGUAGGGGAGACUGGAAUUCCUGGUGUAGCGGUGAAAUGCGCAGAUAUCAGGAGGAACACCGAUGGCGAAGGCAGGUCUCUGGGCAUUAACUGACGCUGAGGAGCGAAAGCAUGGGGAGCGAACAGGAUUAGAUACCCUGGUAGUCCAUGCCGUAAACGUUGGGCACUAGGUGUGGGGGACAUUCCACGUUUUCCGCGCCGUAGCUAACGCAUUAAGUGCCCCGCCUGGGGAGUACGGCCGCAAGGCUAAAACUCACAGGAAUUGACGGGGGCCCGCACAAGCGGCGGAGCAUGCGGAUUAAUUCGAUGCAACGCGAAGAACCUUACCAAGGCUUGACAUGGGCCCGGACCGGGCUGGAAUACAGUCCUUUCCCCUUUGGA